rnacentral:pre_miRNA from 1 species
UGUGCGACAGAAUGCUUAACCUCGCCAACAAUCUCACCACCGAUCAUGUGAAUAUCUAAGAAUAGGAGGUGAGAUUGUUGGAGAGGUUCAGCAUUUAUCUGCACA